AGAUAGCUGGUUCUCCCCGAAAUAGCUUUAGGGCUAGCCUCGAGGUAGAGAUUGCAGGCGGUAGAGCACUGAUCAGGAGAGGGGCCUACCCGGCUACCAAACCCAGUCAAACUACGAAUGGCUGCAAUUAUACUCGGGAGUCAGACUACGACUUAUAAGGGCCGUGGUCAAAAGGGAAACAGCCCAGAUCAUCAGCUAAGGUCCCAAAUGCCGUGCUAAGUGGCGAAGGAUGUGGCGUUUCAUAAACAACCAGGAUGUUGGCUCAGAAGCAGCCACCAUUUAAAGAGUGCGUAAUAGCUCACUGGUCGAGAGACGCUGCGCCGAAAAUGUCCGGGGCUCAAGCACGGAACCGAAGCUAUGGCAUUGACUAUGUCAAUGGGUAGGGGAGCGUUCUUAACAGGAAGAAGCAUGACCGGAAGGACAUGUGGACCGUUAAGAAGUGAGAAUGCCGGUAUGAGUAUCGAAAAGAAAGGUGAGAAUCCUUUCCACCGAAAGCCCGAGGGUUCCUGAGCAACGAUCGUCGUCUCAGGGUAAGUCGGGACCUAAGCCGAGGCGGAGACGCAUAGGCGAUGGACAACAGGUUGAAAUUCCUGUACCGGAUACAAUCGUUUGAGCGAUGGAGCGACGCAGAAAGGCAUAUGAUCGCGCGACUGGAAGAGCGCGUCCAAGUGCGUAUGUUGAAUCGGAGGCAAAUCCCUGAUUCUGAAAGCAGAGACACGAUGGGGAGUUAUACGAAAGUAUGACGAACUCAUAGAUCCUACACUGCCAAGAAAAACUUCUAGUGAGAAAGUAUCCGCCCGUACCGUAAACCGACACAGGUAGGCGGGGAGAGAAUCCUAAGGUGCGCGGGAAAACCCUCGUUAAGGAACUCGGCAAAUUGCAUCCGUAACUUAGGGAGAAGGAUGACCUUAAGUAAGCGAAAGGGAGAAACCCCUGGAACAGAACAAGGUGGCAGAAAAGAGGCCCAAGCAACUGUUUACCAAAAACACAGGUGCCUGCGAAAGCGAAAGCUGAAGUAUAGGUGCUGACGCCUGCCCGGUGCUGGAAGGUUAAGGAGAGAUGUCAGAGCAAUCGAAGCAUUGAACUGAAGCCCCAGUGAACGGCGGCCGUAACUAUAACGGUCCUAAGGUAGCGAAAUUCCUUGUCGGGUAAGUUCCGACCCGCAUGAAAGGCGUAAUGAUUUGGGCACUGUCUCAACGAGGGGCCCGGUGAAAUUGAAAUACCUGUGAAGAUGCAGGUUACCCGCGACUGGACAGAAAGACCCCAUGGAGCUUCACUGCAGCUUGAGAUUGAAUCUCGGUGAUGCAUGCACAGGAUAGGUGGGAGACUUUGAAGUAUGGGCUUUGGCUUAUACCGAGUCGAUGUUGGGAUACCACCCUUGUAUUGCUGAGAUUCUAACACGGAGGCUAACAACCUCGUGGACCAUCUCAGGUAGGCGGUUUGACUGGGGCGGUCGCCUCCGAAAGAGUAACGGAGGCGCCCAAAGGUUCCCUCAGGUCGGACAGAAACCGACCGAAGAGUGCAAAGGCAGAAGGGAGCUUGACUGCGAGACAGACAAGUCGAGCAGAGACGAAAGUCGGGCUUAGUGAUCCGGUGGUACUGUGUGGAAAGGCCAUCGCUCAACGGAUAAAAGCUACCCUGGGGAUAACAG
rnacentral:rRNA from 1 species